AAUAGAUACCCGGGUAGUCCACGCCGUAAACGGUGGGCACUAGGUGUGGGCGACAUUCCACGUCGUCCGUGCCGCAGCUAACGCAUUAAGUGCCCCGCCUGGGGAGUACGGCCGCAAGGCUAAAACUCAAAGGAAUUGACGGGGGGCCCGCACAAGCGGCGGAGCAUGUGGCUUAAUUCGACGCAACGCGAAGAACCUUACCAAGGCUUGACAUACACCGGAAACGUCCAGAGAUGGGCGCCCCCUUGUGGUCGGUGUACAGGUGGUGCAUGGCUGUCGUCAGCUCGUGUCGUGAGAUGUUGGGUUAAGUCCCGCAGCGAGCGCAACCCUUGUCCCGUGUUGCCAGCAGGCCCUUGUGGUGCUGGGGACUCACGGGAGACCGCCGGGGUCAACUCGGAGGAAGGUGGGGACGACGUUAAGUCAUCAUGCCCCUUAUGUCUUGGGCUGCACACGUGCUACAAUGGCCGGUACAAUGAGCUGCGAUACCGCGAGGUGGAGCGAAUCUCAAAAAGCCGGUCUCAGUUCGGAUUGGGGU
rnacentral:rRNA from 1 species